GAUACCGGCAAAAAAGAGUUUGAAAAUGAAAAAAGAGAAUACAACCAAUUGUUAAUGACCAAACUGUUUGACCAAAAAAAUAAUCAACCUGAAAUCAAUGUAAACGGCAACUUUAUUGCAAAAAACGCAAACUGCGGUGGGACUUCCAAUGUACAGGAGAAGAAGUGUCGUGACAGUAUGACAUCAAAUUGACGAAAAUCUAGAAUGGAAAGUCCGAUUUACAAAACUAUAACUUGCAAAUAAGUUACAAUUUCCCAAUUGAAAAGUUUCGUACUCAAAAUAAAAUGCAAGAGAUUUGAAAAAUAAUAGAAUUGAAAACCCAACAUGACCAUAACAAAAGUAAAAUCCUGGUAGUUCUCGCUAAUAUUUGUCUGUGAAUAUUUUUCGCUUGGA